GACCUCGAAUCAGGUAGGGUUACCCGCUGAACUUAAGCAUAUCAAUAAGCGGAGGAAAAGAAACCAACAGGGAUUGCCCUAGUAACGGCGAGUGAAGCGGCAACAGCUCAAAUUUGAAAUCUGGCGCUUGCGCCCGAGUUGUAAUUUGCAGAGGAUGCUUUUGGCGAAGUGCCUUCCGAGUUCCCUGGAACGGGACGCCAUAGAGGGUGAGAGCCCCGUACGGUCGGUUGCCUAGCCGUUGUAAAGCUCCUUCGACGAGUCGAGUAGUUUGGGAAUGCUGCUCUAAAUGGGAGGUAAACUCCUUCUAAAGCUAAAUAUUGGCCAGAGACCGAUAGCGCACAAGUAGAGUGAUCGAAAGAUGAAAAGCACUUUGAAAAGAGAGUCAAAUAGCACGUGAAAUUGUUGAAAGGGGAAGCGCUUGUGACCAGACUUGGGCCUGGUAGUUCAGCCGUCCUUCUGGGCGGUGCAUUCUGCCGGUUCAGGCCAGCAUCAGUUGUCGGUUGGGGAGAAANGUAGCGGGAACGUGGCUCUUCGGAGUGUUAUANCCGUUGCUAUGCCUUUCCGGCGACUGAGGA
rnacentral:rRNA from 1 species